AACAAAUGCAUACACCUCAAACCACUCUGCAGCACCCCCCGUCUCCGAACCAGAACCAAUGGACUGAGUCCCACAUGUAAACACAAGUUGCCCGAGGAUCCCCAACAUCUCAGGGAAGGAUGCUGCUGACCAAAUCACCAGAGGAGUCUGCAUACACUGCGACAAGCCAGGGCACUUCACAAACCAAUGUCUGAAUGUGAUUGCCCCAAGUAAACCCCCCAUGUGUGUAAAUGCUGUGUCGCCCGCGGAUAGGCAAGAACAGGGAAAAGAUGAGCUCUCACUCUAAAACACAGACAAGAGCUCAAGGAGCAGAAAGCUAGCUGGAGAUUCAAGCAG
rnacentral:sRNA from 1 species